rnacentral:rRNA from 1 species
AUUGAACGCUGGCGGCAUGCCUUACACAUGCAAGUCGAACGGUAACAGGUCUUCGGAUGCUGACGAGUGGCGAACGGGUGAGUAAUACAUCGGAACGUGCCCGAGAGUGGGGGAUAACGAGGCGAAAGCUUUGCUAAUACCGCAUACGAUCUCAGGAUGAAAGCAGGGGACCGCAAGGCCUUGCGCUCACGGAGCGGCCGAUGGCAGAUGAGGUAGUUGGUGGGAUAAAAGCUUACCAAGCCGACGAUCUGUAGCUGGUCUGAGAGGACGACCAGCCACACUGGGACUGAGACACGGCCCAGACUCCUACGGGAGGCAGCAAUGGGGAAUUUUGGACAAUGGGCGCAAGCCUGAUCCAGCCAUGCCGCGUGCAGGAUGAAGGCCUUCGGGUUGUAAACUGCUUUUGUACGGAACGAAAAGGCUCCUUCUAAUAAAGGGGGUCCAUGACGGUACCGUAAGAAUAAGCACCGGCUAACUACGUGCCAGCCGCCGCGGUAACAC